GUCCCUCACUUGCCAAAAAAAAUCCCCGUUCGUCUCCUCUCGAAACAAAACAAUUCCCCGUUCGUCUCCCCACAUGUGCCUGUUCCCAUCUGUCCUCUCCCUCUCGACCCACGACGAGGCUCCAGCGUCGCGCCUUGGACCUCCCCGUGUCCGGAGAUGGCCCGGCUGGGUGCCGCUCAUAAGGAGGCUCCUUCGUCCAGGCCCUCCGCCGACUCAAGAUUUGGCGGCCCUCUACUCCUCAACGCCCCACAUCGAGAGCCCAAUCUAGGAAAUUAGCCCCGUUGCGCUGCACACCUCAUACCCCUGCGUCGUCACAAGAUGGUCCGGCUGGGCGCCGCUAUGACGCACGAGCGUUUGAUGUCCAUGGAAGCCAGCUCCGCCACCCAGGCCCUCCUAUGCAAGGUCGGCGAGGACACUGCUUUCUCGAAGUAGAUCGCGCAGAUCUAUCCGAUAUGAUGUAAACGAUACAAAUACAGGGAUUGCACAUAAGUCAUUGGAUUUGACCUUUGUGAGGAAUGCUACAUCACUGUGCAAUGCAUUCAUGAGAUUCCAAGGGAUGCUCAGGGAAGGUCAACAAUAGCUGAUUGUAGAUGAAGUAUUUAUUGGUCCUGGCGCUAUGUGCAUAUAUAGUGGCUGAUGAUGAUGAAGUACUGAACAAUGACGAGGAUAGAUAGUUGUAAAAACCAAGCAUUUCUAGCGAGGCGAAGCUAAUUCUGGGAACAAGCCUUAAUGUUGUGGGGGUCGGAUUGAAUGAAUGUAGUGUGCUAACAUGGUACAUCCCUCGAUUUGUAUUUAGUAUUCUCUUCCUGGUUAGCACUUGGAAAGUUAAUUAGUCGGCACAUAUCUAUGAUAAUAGAAGAAGUAUUAAUUAUCUGACAAUAGGUUUCUAAUUUUCUUUGUGCUUAGUCCACAAGAUAGGUGCGUGUUGUUUCUGAUAAUUACGAUAUUCUCGAACUCAACCUUUUCUGGUUUGUGCUUAAUUAAAAGUUGCUCUAUACUAGAUAUAAGGUGCCAAUACUUCAUUCUUGCAAUGUACUCUUCCCAAUAGUUGCCCUUAUGAACUUUUUAGGUGAAUGAUAGAGGGUCUUUGUUUUAAACUCAUGAAUAUGUUCCUCACAAUAGGAAGAAUGUAAUAUUGCUUGGCAUGCAUGUCUCCUUGAAGUACGGGCAUCCAAGAUUCCAUACCGUGUAUAACGGCUUUGACGUUAAUUUAGAGUACACUUUGCCCUUCCCAAGCAGUUUCAAGGUUAAUUGUGAUACAUGUGGCAUUUCAAGUAGUAAUUCCGCUCAAAGGUUAGAUGUAUACUUAAGUGUGGCUUCAAAAUUCCAUCGGUAUCUUUGUAAAAGAAUUCAUGUUUUGUUUUUGCAGAAGUCCAUAUGACCUGAUUUAUCAAUAUGCACUAUCAUAUAUGCGCUGAAAUGUAUUCUCGACAUUUUUUUAGAAAACCAGAUGGAGGAAAAUAUGUGUGUUGUUUUUAUCUGGGAAAACUGAGAGUCAGAUGCACAUGCCAAGACCAUCGUUAAUUUAUUGCGUGUUUAACGGCUCAGAAUGAAGAAUUGCUACACCGGAACCUGGGCCAUGCAGUGAUUGAUAUUUCGGUUGCAUCGCAGUUUCAUCUGAGGUAAGUUAUAAACGAUGCAUUGCUUCACCGUAUUAUAUGCCGAUGCUCUCUAAUUUAAUCUAUCCGACGUAUAUACAACUUUCUUGGUGAUCGUAUUUUUCAUGUUGUGUGUCGAUGUGUAUCACAACCUAACAUGCAGACAUAGAUAAAUUGUAAUUAUUGUUGUAUACCGUUGGUUUUGGUAAAAGCUCAUGUGUUAUAUGUUUUGGUGGGUUUUGGUAAAACCACUUCUCACCUUCAGAGAUAUAUGUUUGUUGCUUGCUCUACACAUGUCUGGUGCUCCAGCUCAUGCAUUCGUUUGAUCUGACCAUGGUGCAUGGCAUACAUGUACGGAGAAACUUUGUAUAGUGUUGUUAGCUGGUGGCAUCUACAAUUUAAGAUAAUCUAUGUGACUUAAGAUGAUGCAUGCAUGAAUUAAACCUGGCUAUUAGAUUAACUAACCUCGCAAUAUGAAACAUUGCUAUAUGUACUCCUUCAACUUAACAAAAAUGAUGUGCCCACUUGCUUUGUCAAUUGCAAAGAGGUGCGUAUGAUAUGGAGAAUCCUGAACAUGGAAGAUGAAAGACAUAUGUUGGCUGAGUGUGUUGGUCCUAAAGUGUUCCUUCAACGCUUCUUCACCUCGGAGGCCUCCAAACAAAUGCUAUGUAUUUGCUCUUAUGUGGACGUGGUGGCUAAUCUAAAACAAAGUCAAUGUUGGAGAGAAAAGAUGCCAUGUGAAUGACACACUGUACUGAAUCAUAAGAAAUGUUGUAGAUUAUGAGAUGUUAUGUCUGAAGAAACAAACAACGACUGUGACAGUGGCUCAAAGAUGGAAACCGCCUAAAGCUGAUGUGCUGAAAGUGAACAUUGAUGGUAGUUUCUUCUCGGAUUCAGUUGAGGGAGGCUCGGGUUUUAUAGUCAGAGACAACUCAUGCAAUGCAGGGGGCUCAGGAGCAAGAAAACUUCGUGAGCUUCAAGACCCUAUGCAUGCAGAGGCCGAGGCAUGCUUGCAUGCAAUCCAGGAGGCUCAAACUUGGGCAAUGAGGAGAAUUACUAGACAGACGCACAGGAACUGGUGAAAGCCACCCCAUCAAAAGAUUAUGACCUGGCACCUAACGGUGUUCUCUUCCAGGAGAUCAAAGCUUACCUAGCUUUACAUUUUGUUAUGUUUAAAUAAAGUAAAGUACUGUCCUAGACUUUGUAAUUUAUAAGGUUGUAGAUGCCCUUGUGGCAUUCGAUGUGAAGAUUUGGUUGCUAGCGAUCUUGCUGUGCACUCUGGUUAAUGUAAUAAGGUUUUCCAUUAAUUUUUUUAACAAAAC